rnacentral:rRNA from 1 species
AGCAGCAGCCGCGGUAACACGAAGGGUGCAAGCGUUACUCGGAAUUACUGGGCGUAAAGCGUGCGUAGGUGGUGGUUUAAGUCCGUUGUGAAAGCCCUGGGCUCAACCUGGGAAUUGCAGUGGAUACUGGGUCACUAGAGUGUGGUAGAGGAUAGUGGAAUUUCCGGUGUAGCAGUGAAAUGCGUAGAGAUCGGAAGGAACAUCUGUGGCGAAGGCGACUAUCUGGGCCAACACUGACACUGAGGCACGAAAGCGUGGGGAGCAAACAGGAUUAGAUACCCCGGUAGUCCCUGUCUCUUAUAC